rnacentral:rRNA from 1 species
AAUACCCAAUGACGUCUCUAGAAGACAUCUGAAAGAGAUUAAAGAUUUAUCGGUGAUGGAUGGGGAUGCGUCUGAUUAGCUUGUUGGCGGGGUAACGGCCCACCAAGGCGACGAUCAGUAGGGGUUCUGAGAGGAAGGUCCCCCACAUUGGAACUGAGACACGGUCCAAACUCCUACGGGAGGCAGCAGUGAGGAAUAUUGGUCAAUGGACGAGAGUCUGAACCAGCCAAGUAGCGUGCAGGAUGACGGCCCUAUGGGUUGUAAACUGCUUUAUAAGGGAAUAAAGUGGGAGUCGUGACUCUUUUUGCAUGUACCUUAUGAAUAAGGACCGGCUAAUUCCGUG